UACGGAGGGGGCAAGCGUUAUCCGGAAUUACUGGGUGUAAAGGGUGAGUAGGCGGCAUGGUAAGCCAGAUGUGAAAGCCUUGGGCUUAACCCGAGGAUUGCAUUUGGAACUAUCAAGCUAGAGUACAGGAGAGGAAAGCGGAAUUCCUAGUGUAGCGGUGAAAUGCGUAGAUAUUAGGAAGAACACCAGUGGCGAAGGCGGCUUUCUGGACUGAAACUGACGCUGAGGCACGAAAGCGUGGGGAGCGAACAGG
rnacentral:rRNA from 1 species